rnacentral:rRNA from 1 species
UACUGCCUAUCAGAGGGGAAUAACAGUGAGAAAUCACUGCUAAUACCGCAUAUGCCAUAGUUAUCGCAUGAUAAUAGUGGGAAAGAAGCAAUUCGCUGAUAGAUGAGCUUGCGGCUGAUUAGCUAGUUGGUGGGGUAACGGCCUACCAAGGCGACGAUCAGUAGCCGGACUGAGAGGUUGAACGGCCACAUUGGGACUGAGAUACGGCCCAGACUCCUACGGGAGGCAGCAG